rnacentral:rRNA from 1 species
AAGGAGGAGCUUGCUUCUCUGGAUGAGUUGCGAACGGGUGAGUAACGCGUAGGUAACCUGCCUGGUAGCGGGGGAUAACUAUUGGAAACGAUAGCUAAUACCGCAUAACAGUAGAUGUUGCAUGACAUUUGCUUAAAAGGUGCAAUUGCAUCACUACCAGAUGGACCUGCGUUGUACUAGCUAGUUGGUGGGGUAACGGCUCACCAAGGCGACGAUACAUAGCCGACCUGAGAGGGUGAUACACGGCCACACUGGGACUGAGACACGGCCCAGACUCCUACGGGAGGCAGCAGUAGGGAAUCUUCGGCAAUGGACGGAAGUCUGACCGAGCAACGCCGCGUGAGUGAAGAAGGUUUUCGGAUCGUAAAGCUCUGUUGUAAGAGAAGAACGAGUGUGAGAGUGGAAAGUUCACACUGUGACGGUAUCUUACCAGAAAGGGACGGCUAACUACGUGCCAGCAGCCGCGGUAAUACGUAGGUCCCGAGCGUUGUCCGGAUUUAUUGGGCGUAAAGCGAGCGCAGGCGGUUAGAUAAGUCUGAAGUUAAAGGCUGUGGCUUAACCAUAGUACGCUUUGGAAACUGUUUAACUUGAGUGCAAGAGGGGAGAGUGGAAUUCCAUGUGUAGCGGUGAACUGCGUAGAUAUAUGGAGGAACA